rnacentral:rRNA from 1 species
UACGUAGGGUGCAAGCGUUGUCCGGAAUUAUUGGGCGUAAAGAGCUCGUAGGCGGUUUGUUGCGUCGGCUGUGAAAUCCCGAGGCUCAACCUCGGGUCUGCAGUCGAUACGAGCAAACUAGAGUGUUGCAGGGGAGACUGGAAUUCCGGGUGUAGCGGUGGAAUGCGUAGAGAUCCGGAAGAACACCGGUGGCGAAGGCGGUUAGCUGGGCAGUUGCUGACACUGAGGCGCGACAGCGUGGGGAGCAAACAGG